rnacentral:rRNA from 1 species
CGGGAGGAGAGGUAGAGGGAGGAGUUGCGCGGGUCGCGAGCGCGCGAACACAGGGCGUGGUUGGCGUCGGCGGGGCAGCCCCGAGGGUCGGCGGUACCGGAUCGCGUGGGAGCGGUAGCUGGAGGGGCUGCGAGCUCCACGUCGUCGCCCCUCGGUCAAGAGCUGGAGGUACCUCCUCUUCCCGGAUCGCCCGAGAACGUCUGUUCUCUCCGACCCCCACGAGCAGCUAACCCGUCUACCUCCCGUAGGCUCAAAGAAGUUAGCUAAACCGGUCCCGGUGUCGUCGCAUGCGCUUCCGACCUCCACUUGCUGGGAGACCUCGACGUCUACAGCUGUCUUCUUCUUAAAACUACUUCCUAAACUAUUUCUUCUUGUCCGCCGUAAGUCCAGAGGAUGAUUUCGAGGAGCGGCCGCACCGGUGAGAGGGGAGGUUGACGUCCGACUCUGUUUUAUAACCGUUCGUAAUGGUAAUACUAGGAGGUAGCUAGUAGUACCAACUUCCUUUUACAUAAUCCGUACCAUAAAAGUUCGAUUCAUAUGGUCGUCGGCUACGACCUGGAGGACUACGUAUAUCAAACGUAUAAAGAUAAGUAGGUUAAGGAAGUAGGUAAAAAGGAAUAAAAAGACAAGCGAGUAAAUAAGAUCGUAUAAGGAUAGUCAUAAAAAGUCGACUUCCUAUAUACGAGACUAAUGGUUUGCUUACACGUCCGUUGCGGGUAAACUAAAGGCACCUGUUUAUAGGAAAAAACUCGAAUAAUAAGUGUUAAAUAUCAUUAUACGAUAAUACCCGAAACGAGGUCGUACUAUUCCUCCUUUCUUGACGUCCGACAUAACAAGCAACUGUAAGUACUAGUCAAUGUGUGGUUCGGAUAUAAAAACGACGAAGAUGUACAACGAUACUACCAGUAAGUCGGGUAAAAGAAUAACGUACUGGAACUUUUUCUCGAAUAAAUCAAUUACUAAAAGUGAAUGAUUUUAAGUCUCUCGAGAACGACCCAUACCUCGACAACUAAUGAGUUUUGGACAACUACAUAAUCAAACAAAGUCUCUAGAGAACCAAACCGUAUGACCGCGAAAGCGACUUGAGCUGUUUCAUCGAAGUGUUCAGUGUUGUGUUACACAUCAAGUCACAUCUCAAAACAUACUUUAGCACUUUCGUAAAGUAUAAGGAAUAAAAAAAGAAAAGUAUACUACAAUACUUUAACCAAUGAUUAAACGUUCUGUAUACGUAAAAAGUAAUUUUUUGAACCCUUCACAACACCGACCAAUAUACGUCGAGGUAGAGAGAGAGAGAGAGAGAGAGAGAGAGAGAGAGAGAGAGAGAGAGAGAUGCGUGAGUACAAGUCAACAAUAAAACCACACGUUCUCUCAUCAAUCAAUCUUCGAAUGCAAGAAAUACAAAGACCUAAACCACGUCCAAGCUCCUACAUUUGGAUGGACUAUAUAAGAAGUACCCCUAACUCAUAAAAUCACUAUAUAGACUCUUAAUAUUACUAGAUAGACGAUCGUCCGCCUCAAGUCUGAGACAAAAACGAUGUUUUCUUAGUCCGGUGGGGACUACGGGUCCGACUACGAAGAAGCGAACUACGACUUCUUUCCCUACUGGUCUAAGUCUACGGGUUCUUUUUCGUCCGCGGCGUAGAAGAGAAUAUGGAAAUAGAUACAUGAAAUUGAAGUGAACUACGCCCGCGCACAGACCACAGGGACGAUUUUUGGCUGUCAAUGGAUUCUUAAACGUCGUCAAUUUGGAACUUAAACGUCGCCAAUUUUGGACUUCGAUGAAGAUGAAAAGGAUACUUCCUAGUGUUGAUGUGACUUAUGUCGUUUGGACAAGGGUAUAGCACACCUUUUGAUGAAGUAAGAAGAGAUACACAAAAGACUACGUAAAAACCAUCACCCUCACCCUAUACCUCUCCCUCUCUCUCGUAUAGGUUUACCUUACCUACCCUUGUACUAUAAACGUCUAGACUCUUUCAUCUCUAUCCUGGUUCUUUUUAUCCAAAGAGGUAGGACAAUUCAAAGGAACGAACAAAUCGUAAACCACUUUUUAAUACCCGGUCACGUAACCGCGCCGGUCGGAUGGACACAUGUCUUAGAUACGAAUUUAAAACAUUUUUUAUCACGAAAGAACGAAUGCCAAGAACGCUACCAAACACGACUUUUUAGAUACUCGAUUACGUAAACACGUUAGUCGGACGGACACACGCCUUAGAAACAAAUCUAAAACAGUUUUUCAACGAAAAGACUGAUAAAAAGAGUACCACCAAAUUAGGGUAUCUAUUUAACACACACACAGAUACUAACAACACAGGCCAGAGAUAGAUACGUUAGUAGACUACGUACAGAUACAUCAAUAAACCUCAUAUGAAUGUAUACCCAAUCUAGUCGUCUUAGUUUUGGCUUAUAACACUACGAUCUUAACCAAGUUACAACAAGGGAGUACACCAUCACUGUACAAAACAUUGUAAGAUAAGUUUUGAUCCGCCCCUGCAGAGAACCAUACCUUUGAAAUAAAACAUGGUGAACGUAAGACUUGACAUAUUGAGGAAAAGAAAACAUAUAUAAUGGUCAUAUAAAAGUCGAACGUGUAUUGACAACUAACAGUUUCAUUCGUUAUUCAAUCGUUAUUGACGGUACUCAAACUUAACGGGUAAUGUACAGGUCUCAAACCUUAAAAUGGAUUGGAACUUAUCAAAGGAAUAUAGAGUAAAAGAAAGUACACACACAUAUAUAUUUUACGAAUCAAGAAUAAUAAAGUGUACAAAUUCUCUAUUUCCGUGUAGGUCCCUUUCUAAAGCUACAUUAAUAUGCAUGUAAAUAAAUACUACCAAGAAGGUUGUACUAGUCCAGUCUUCUUAAAAAGGAACAAAACAAUACAAAGUGUGAUAACAGGUUUACCUACACGGAAUAAAAGGGUUAAUAGAAUAUGGGAAUACGGGUUGCGAAGAGUGGUUCUAGGCAUUCACACUGACUACUUGGUACAAUGUUUCCUUCAUCAGACUGUAGGCAACUCAUUAAAUUGGUACGUUAAAUACAAUACUUGUUCAAAAUUUUUAUCAGAACCACUUUUCACAACAAGAUAUUUAUCGAAAGAAGGUUAAAAAUCAAAACGACUAAAAAUUACACAGUCAAAACUAGCUUUAAAAUCAAACCAACUGCGGUGGAAGACGUAAGGAAAACAUAUGAAUUGACUUUCGUCUUGAACAAUUCACUCCUAACCAAUGAACCAGAAUAAACCCGAGAGUCAUCACUCAUGGAUUUGACUACGUUAUUGUUGAAUAACGUAAGAAGGAUAUUAGGCUAGACUCGAAUCACAAAACGGUCAAACGUACAUUUACGCUAUUUUCUAGAGUGAAAUACUAUAAACCAUAUAUGUUAUACGAAGUUCACGUUAUUACAUGUUCACCUAAACUCCUAGUUUACCUCACUUUCCUUCCGUACUAAUUUAAACGUACGUGAAAGAUAACAAUGUCUAGGUUGGAUACAAACUAUAACUAGAACGGAGCGGAGUACGAUUAGAGAGAACAUAUUGUUCUGUAUGAAUAAGCUACUAAACCGAGGAGAAAUGAUUAAAUAAUAAUAAAAACGAGUAGAUAUAUAUCCAAUACUAUACAGUAACGAGUCGAAUACUUUCCUCGACUACUGACCCCAUGGUAUCGUUGUUUGACCUGUCUCAAGAAGGUAAAUUUUUUGUCUCCUUUCUAUGUACGAAAGGCAGAAGUCUGCGUUCCGUUUCUCGCAAGCAGAUUAGUAAGUGAGGACUUCUGUGGUAGCAUUUGGAAAUCACAGCGGAUAUAUCGAACGUAAGGUCUUAAGUACAAAUGUCACGAAAACACGGUACACACCAUACGAGGUGUAACCAAGCAGAAAGGAACACAAUGGAGAAUCAUAUCCAUAAUACCUAGCAGUCAGACUGAUAUUCAUAGUUACUUCUAUUCGAAUAGAAAGUAAGAGAAAGUUAGCUUAAUUCCACGAAUGUUUACGGGAUGUUAUGGAUGUAUUAUGUACUAGGAUUAACCGAAGAACGCGGUACCCACAAUGUUCUCAUUUCCAAAUAGAUUACUCCGGAACAGCGCCGCGACGUUCACAACGGGGGGAGGAGGGGUUCCCAUUCCACUUCCUUCCACGGACACACCAAGAAGACGUCGAGCGUCGCUCCUAACGACACAGGUUGGACGUGUUCUUACGGUUCUUCAGGAAGAGCCUCUGCUAAUUCCUGUACAUGGACGUGAUGUUGCUCUCUAGACCUGACGAAGAAACACCGAAGGUUUGAACU